rnacentral:rRNA from 1 species
GAUGAACGCUGGCGGCGUGCCUAAUACAUGCAAGUCGAGCGAAUGGAUUAAGAGCUUGCUCUUAUGAAGUUAGCGGCGGACGGGUGAGUAACACGUGGGUAACCUGCCCAUAAGACUGGGAUAACUCCGGGAAACCGGGGCUAAUACCGGAUAACAUUUUGAACCGCAUGGUUCGAAAUUGAAAGGCGGCUUCGGCUGUCACUUAUGGAUGGACCCGCGUCGCAUUAGCUAGUUGGUGAGGUAACGGCUCACCAAGGCAACGAUGCGUAGCCGCCCUGAGAGGGUGAGCGGCCACACUGGGACUGCGACACGGCCCAGACUCCUACGGGAGGCAGCAGUAGGGAAUCUUCCGCAAUGGACGAAAGUCUGACGGAGCAACGCCGCGUGAGUGAUGAAGGCUUUCGGGUCGUAAAACUCUGUUGUUAGGGAAGAACAAGUGCUAGUUGAAUAAGCUGGCACCUUGACGGUACCUAACCAGAAAGCCACGGCUAACUACGUGCCAGCAGCCGCGGUAA